rnacentral:rRNA from 1 species
CGGAUAUCUUGGCUCUUGCAACGAUGAAGAAACGCAGCGAAAUGCGAUACGUAGUGUGAAUUGCAGAAUUCCGCGAAUCAUCGAGUCUUUGAACGCAAGUUGCGCCCGAGGCUUGUCCGAGGGCAUUUCCGCUAGAGCGUCACCGCG